UUCCCGGUGGUCUAGUGAUUAGGACUCUGGACUUUCACUCCAGGUGGCUCAGGUUUGAUACUUGGUCAGGGAA
rnacentral:tRNA from 1 species